rnacentral:rRNA from 1 species
UACAGAGGUCUCAAGCGUUGUUCGGAUUCAUUGGGCGUAAAGGGUGUGUAGGUGGCGCGCUAAGUCGGAUGUGAAAUCCCCAGGCUUAACCUGGGAACUGCAUCCGAUACUGGAUGGCUUGAAUCCGGGAGAGGGAUGCGGAAUUCCAGGUGUAGCGGUGAAAUGCGUAGAUAUCUGGAGGAACACCGGUGGCGAAGGCGGCAUCCUGGACCGGCAUUGACGCUGAGGAGCGAAAGCCAGGGGAGCAAAGCGGG